rnacentral:rRNA from 1 species
GCGUGGAUGAAGAAGGCCUUCGGGUUGUAAAGUCCUUUCGUGGGGGACGAAAAGGUGGUUCCUAAUACGAGCUGCUGUUGACGUGAACCCAAGAAGAAGCACCGGCUAACUCCGUGCCAGCAGCCGCGGUAAUACGGGGGGUGCAAGCGUUAAUCGGAAUCACUGGGCGUAAAGGGUGCGUAGGCGGUACGUUAGGUCUGUCGUGAAAUCCCCGGGCUCAACCUGGGAAUGGCGGUAGAAACCGGCGCACUAGAGUAUGGGAGAGGGUGGUGGAAUUCCAGGUGUAGCGGUGAAAUGCGUAGAGAUCUGGAGGAACAUCAGUGGCGAAGGCGGCCACCUGGCCCAAUACUGACGCUGAGGCACGAAAGCGUGGGGAGCAAACAGGAUUAGAUACCCUGGUAGUCCACGCCCUAAACGAUGAAUACUAGAUGUUUGGUACCUAGCGUACUGAGUGUCGUAGCUAACGCGAUAAGUAUUCCGCCUGGGA